rnacentral:rRNA from 1 species
AUACGUAGGGGGCGAGCGUUGUCCGGAAUGAUUGGGCGUAAAGGGCGCGUAGGCGGCGCGGUAAGUCUGGAGUGAAAGUCCUGCUUUCAAGGUGGGAAUUGCUUUGGAUACUGCCGCGCUUGAGUGCAGGAGAGGUUAUCGGAAUUCCCGGUGUAGCGGUGAAAUGCGUAGAGAUCGGGAGGAACACCAGUGGCGAAGGCGGGUAACUGGACUGCAACUGACGCUGAGGCGCGAAAGUGUGGGGAGCAAACAGGAUUAGAUACCCUGGUAGUCCACACUGUAAACGAGGAAUGCUAGGUGUAAGAGGUAUCGACCCCUUUUGUGCCGGAGUCAACACAAUAAGCAUUCCGCCUGGGGAGUACGGCCGCAAGGUUGAAACUCAAAUGAAUUGACGGG